rnacentral:rRNA from 1 species
GACGAACGCUGGCGGCGUGCUUAACACAUGCAAGUCGAACGGAAAGGCCCUGCUUUUGUGGGGUGCUCGAGGGGCGAACGGGUGAGUAACACGUGAGUAACCUGCCCUUGACUUUGGGAUAACUUCAGGAAACUGGGGCUAAUACCGGAUAGGAGCUCCUGCUGCAUGGUGGGGGUUGGAAAGUUUCGGCGGUUGGGGAUGGACUCGCGGCUUAUCAGCUUGUUGGUGGGGUAGUGGCUUACCAAGGCUUUGACGGGUAGCCGGCCUGAGAGGGUGACCGGCCACAUUGGGCCUGAGGUACGGCCCAGACUCCUACGUGAGGCAGAAGUGGGGAAUAUUGCACAAUGGGCGGAAGCCUGAUGCAGCAACGCCGCGUGCGGGAUGACGGCCUUCGGGUUGUAAACCGCUUUCGCCUGUGACGAAGCGUGAGUGACGGUAAUGGGUAAAGAAGCACCGGCUAACUACGUG